rnacentral:sRNA from 1 species
GUCGGGUUCGGGAUGAAGUGAUUGACCUUCUCACCCAUCAGCGCGAAGGUGCGCUUGCCGUCGGUGAGCAUCUGCACCCCGCGGCGUGUGAACUCCUU